UGGAAUGCAAAAAGUAGAAGAAGGAAACUACACAUAUAUUUUUGUCAUUUUAGUAUUUUAAAUUAAUCAUGCUUUUCUUAAUAGAUAUACUAAUGUAUAGAAGAAGGCUCGCCGUCUAAUCCAUCAACAAAAAGUAACAAAUCAGGGAAUCAUCCAUAUUGAACAUUGUGUAAGAUAUUUUGUUAUAUAUUCUGUAGAUUAGUGGUUCUGUUCUUAGCUUUAUUGACUAUGUUCGAAAAUAAUUGUAGGUUUAUUUUUGUUAUUAUUUGAUGUGAGUUUUUAUGACUUGUAUUUUUUUCUUAUGUUUAUAAAAAAUACGAAGCUGCGACAUGGCCGAGGAACCUGAUCGGAGUAGUGACGGCAAAAGAUUUUCCAGCCGAGCCUUCCGAGAAGGUGCCGAAGCUCGAUUAUGUUCAGAGAAUUGUGGAAUUGUCUGUGUAUUCUGAUUGGAUUUUUGAUACGAGUUUUUUGACUCCAGAUAUUCUAAUAAAUUGUACUCUCCAUUUUUGUUGUUUUUUAUAAAUGGCAACUUGAAAACUAACAGUAUAAAUCUCC
rnacentral:lncRNA from 1 species